rnacentral:tRNA from 1 species
CCUGCUCGGCCGCCGUGCGGCGGAGCGGCUCGCCGCCUUCGACGCGCCGUCGGCGGCUUGAGGCGAGCGAUCGUGCCCUUCGAUCAGAUCC